UCCACCGCGAGGUGGAAUCUGAAGGAAGCCGGCGGCAAACCUUCGGCCGGACGAACAGGAAGUGCAUCCGAGGCGGGGCGCGUGGGGCGAGUUCGCUAAACAGAACGAAGCCCGAUACGGUCAAGCGCGCGUCACGUAAAUGCACCCGGUAGGUGGAGGGACAGUACACGCU
rfam:Sulfobacillus acidophilus TPY, complete genome.